AUUGAACGCUGGCGGCAGGCCUAACACAUGCAAGUCGAGCGGAGCGGCGGACGGGUGAGUAAUACCUAGGAAUCUGCCUGGUCGUGGGGGAUAACGUUAGGAACCGGAAGCUAAUACCGCAUCCUAUCAGAUGGGCGUAGGGCGGAUUGGCUAGUUGGUGGGGUAAUGGCUCACCAAGGCUACGAUCCGUAACUGGUCUGAGAGUAUGAUCAGGCACACUGCACCUAAGAGACGGUGCAGACUGCUACGGUGGGCAGCAGUGGGGAAUAUUGGACAGUGGGCGAAAGCCUGAUCCAGCCAUCCCGCGUGGGGGAUGAAGGCCUUCGGGUUGUAAACUCCUUUCGACAGGGACGCGUUACCUGUAUAAGAAGCACCGGCUAACUACGUGCCAGCAGCCGCGGUAAUUC
rnacentral:rRNA from 1 species